rnacentral:rRNA from 1 species
CUAAACGACUCUCGGCAACGGAUAUCUCGGCUCUCGCAUCGAUGAAGAACGUAGCGAAAUGCGAUACUUGGUGUGAAUUGCAGAAUCCCGUGAACCAUCGAGUCUUUGAACGCAAGUUGCGCCUGAAGCCAUUUGGUUGAGGGCACGCCUGCCUGGGCGUCACGCA